GUGCUACUUCAGCAGCACAUACAUUAAAAUUGCAACAAUUCAGAGAUUAACAUGGCCCCUGUGCAAGGAUGAUACAUAAAGUUGUGAAAUGUUCCAUAUGUUU
rnacentral:snRNA from 1 species